UGAGCUCUUUGCUCUAAUGUACAAAAUUCUUAUUUUGGACUAUGAUAUGGCAGCUCUGCGUAAGACCAGCAAGAAGUUUUGAACAAUUUUAUAAAUAAAAAUUCAGUCGAGAAUUAAUUGUAGGGCUCAUCUAGGUGCCAGCAGCCGCGGUCAUACCUGGCUACAAGAAUUUUAUUUAUACUUAAUAAACUUAUAACUUAGACUUUUUUGUUAUUUUAGUGGUGAAAUACGUUCUAUAACAUUUAGUUCUUUUGUCUAUCAUUUUUAUUAAACUCUUCAGGUAAACUAGGAUUAGAUACCCUAUUAUACUAGAGCUCAAUAUUUUUAUUAAAGCACUACGAUCAUUUGAUUAAAACUUAAAGAGCAUGGCGGUCAUAAGAAAAUUUAGGGGAACUUACCAAGUAAUUGAUAACCCACAAGGUCCUCUUCUUAACCUUAAAGUUUGUAUACCGCCGUCUAGGCGUCUUCGAAGAAAAUGCCAAAAUAAUCUCCUAUUAGAAAGACAGGUCAGGGUGCAGCUAAUGGUUAAGUUUUAGGCGAGUUACAUUGAUAUUUAAUUUUUUCGAGAGAAAUUCAAAAAUUUUUCAAGAAGUGGACUUAAAAGUAAUGUUUACAUAAAAAUACAACUUGAAUUAACUUAACGCUUAUGGUGCACAAAUCGCCCGUCGCUCUCGUUGAUUGUAAAAAUGAGAUAAGUCGUAACACAGUAGGGGUACCGGAAGGUGCCCCUGUUAAAGU
rnacentral:ncRNA from 1 species